rnacentral:rRNA from 1 species
UACGGAGGGUGCGAGCGUUGUCCGGAAUCACUGGGCGUAAAGGGCGCGUAGGUGGCGACCCAAGUCAACGGUGAAAGCUCGGCGCUUAACGCCGAGUCGGCCGUCGAUACUGGGUGGCUCGAGCACUGUAGAGGCAGAUGGAAUUCCGGGUGUAGCGGUGGAAUGCGUAGAGAUCCGGAGGAAGACCGGUGGCGAAGGCAGCUUGCUGGGACGGUAUGACGCUGAGACGCGAAAGCGUGGGGAGCAAACAGG